UCAGCCACGUUGGUCAGGCUGGUCUUGAACUCCGGACAUCGUGAUCUGCCUGCCUCUGCCUCCCAAAGUACUGGGAUUGCAGGUGUGAGCCACCAAACCCAGCCUCCUUUUGAUAUUUUAAAGGCCUUGAACAAGAUGUCCCAAUAACCUAAAAUGAUCUGGUCAGCUUUCUUACUUGACAACUAAGAAAAAUAAGGCUUAAAGAGGGAUUGCCAGAAAUUUUGGCGACUGGAUUGCCUGUGCUUGUUCUGCUAAGCCAUAUUUAAAUUCUGUAGUGCAUACUUAACUUUUUAAUAGGGAAAUUGCCUCAAAAUAAUGACCAGUGGUACAGUAAAAUAAUUAAAUUUAGACUAUGGGACUAAUGGUUUUACACAACUGGCUUUAAAAAGUCUGCUUAAAAAACAAUAUUUAGAAAAAAAUAGAAAAAAACUUUUUGAAAUCUAGGAGCCUAAAAGGGCUGUUUGUUUCAUAUAUGGAGAAUCUUUGAAAAGGAGAGUCCUGUCUAUUUUUUCAUUUUUUCGAAGAAGAUUGGUUAUCAGUAGGCUUGCAAACAUAAUUUGCUUUCGGUUCUUUCAAGGUUUUAUGCAAUAAACGACCUAUUAAUUUGGAAUUUUUUCUUAAAAAAUUUAUUAAAAAUACUUUUAGGGUUUCAUAAUUUCAGGUGGAUUUUUAAGAGGAGCGAUAGUUUGCCAUUUACCGAAGGUUUCUCCAGAUAAUUUCUUAAAUAUUUCUACUUAAAAGCUAUUAAUAAUAAGCUGUCAUGGGAUCCAGUUGAAGAUAGGGAAAAUAGAAAACUUUUAUGAGAAUGGGAAGAACUUAUCCUUUGAAUUUUGUAGACUAACAGAGUCUGUGGGUCUUAACUCAUUUCAGCCUAUCAAAUGUCCCAUUAAAAAUGAAUUCUCUAAUUGUAUUCAAAUGAGGCUCUAUGUUGAAUACAGAAUUACUCUUUUAAGUUUUUUCCCCAGUUAAUUUGUUGUAAAAGUGUUAUACCCUUUUGCAAGAACGUUAAGUCUUGUAACUUGUUAAAAUCUAAUGUAUUAAAUACAAACAAUUUGUUUUUUACCUUUUUUUUUUUUUUAAGGCUGUAUUCAAUAGUCUGUAAAUAAAUUGCCGUAACACUCCCAGGCCAUUUUCCAGCCUUGUUUGCUUUUUGCUUCUAUCCAGAAAAGACUUUUUGACGUAAUCUUAUCUGAUAAGGAUAACUACUUGUAAUCCAAUAUGCCAUAUAUAUUUUUUUUUGACAAAGAUUAAGAUGUGGAAUCCU